UGAAUGAAUGGAAAGCAGUCUGAGACUCCUUGCACUUUCCUUGAACUCAGAAACAUAGUCUAAAUUUUCAAAUAUAGAUGCCAAAUUAAUUAUCUAAAUGUAUAUUAGGCACCUAAAUAUGAAACCCGUGGAAAAAUCCCAGCAGACCUGGUGAAGGACAGAACCCCCAGGUUAUAAAAUCUUCCUGCAGGUAAUUUUUUUGUCCAAAGACUUUCAUUUGUGAAUGACUUUAGUUCAAUAUUAAAAAAUAAACUGUUCCUUGGAUUUUUAAAAUGCUGCCUGGACAUCUGCUGUAAGUGGGAAAACAACAAGGAAGAGAAGGAGGGAGAAAAGGAGAGAGAGAGAGAGAGGUGAGCAGUGACAAAGAGAGGAAAGAAUGGAAAAAGAAAUGUAGAGAAGAAACAGAAAAGAGAUUGAGAAAGGAGGAAGGACAAUGAAUUGGCACUGAAAUGAGACAGAACCUGAAGGAAAUGAGACAAAAGGUACAGAAGGAGGAGGAUUUGAAAAUAAAGCACAAACAGAAAUUUAAAUAGGGCAUGAGGAAAAACAGAAAUACUGAAACCAAUGUAAAAAACAAAGAAAGCAUAAAGGGGUAAAAUAUUUGGAAGAGGAAAAAAAUUAAAUAAAAUGAAACCUGAGGAGUGAUAUAUUAAGAAGAUGAGAAAUAAAUGAAAAUUCAACCUGCAGCAAAGGGCAUUUCCAAAGCUUGGAAGAAAAGGGAACCUGCAAAGCAUGCUGGGAUGCAUCCUUUUGUUCCCCCUGGCAGGAUGCUUUUAGCACUGCAGCCAGUCUCCAGAGCAUGAAGAAAAUAUUUUGGAUGCUUGUAAAGGUUUCAUCUGAUUGAAUUUCAAAUGGCUUAAACUAAAUGGUUGAACUUCAUUCGGUUGAACUGUACAAUUGUACACACCCAGAGCUAAAGAAACACAUGCAUCCUAAAAACAGUAGUCCCCUGAGUCCCAUGGAAAAGUCUGCAGCAGAAGCAGAGCAGUACAACUCUAAGAAAGUCCACCUCCUGUCUUCUCAUUCUUCAAAAUAUCUACAGGUGGAAGAAACUAAAAGAUGAGAAAAGGGUUAAAAAGCAAUCCAAAUACCAAGAGAGCCAAAAGAACAGCAACAUCUGCCUUGUAUCCUCAGUGUUGUUUAGCUUCUGUCCUUUCUCUAUAAAAGUCCGGUCACCAAGCGUGACCAUAAAAAGGUGUCUGAGCUGUCAAAAUGGUAUUCGGAUGGCUGACUGUCAAGGAUCUGCUAUAGCAUCGCAACUGGAGAUUUUAAUUGCAUUCAGACAACAUGCUGCAAAGUCAAGAAGUGUAUUUUUCUGUCUACAUAAUCUUUUAGAAAGAAACUUUUAAAAAAUAUAUUUUUUCAGUCUCAGUGUUGUAUAAUAUUUUAAUCUGUGUGCAUGUCAUACAAUAACAUUCUUUCUUUCUUUCACUCUUUUUAAAUAAAUGUUUGCAGAUUCCACUUUUGA